rnacentral:rRNA from 1 species
UUCUGGUUGAUCCUGCCAGAGGCGACCGCUUUUGGAGUUCGAUUAAGCCAUGCGAGUCGAGAGCCUUAGGGGCUCGGCAUACUGCUCAGUAACACGUGGAUAACCUGCCCUAUUGUCUGGAAUAACCUCGGGAAACUGAGAACAAGGCCGGAUAGCCCACAAUGCCUGGAACGGUUUGUGGGUGAAGAUAGGAUGGGUCUGCGGCGUAUCAGGUCGUAGGGGGUGUAAUGGACCUCCUAGCCAUCGACGCGUACGGGUGUUGGGAGACAUAGCCCGGAGAUGGAUUCUGAGACACGAAUCCAGACCCUACGGGGUGCAGCAGGCGCGAAAACUUCACACUGCAGGAAACUGUGAUGAGGGAACUCCAAGUGCAUUCACUAUGUGGAUGCUUUUUUUGACUAUUAAUCGGUCAACGAAUAAGGGCUGGGAAAGACCGGUGCCAGCCGCCGCGGUAAUACCGGCAGCUCAAGUGGUCGUCGCUUUUAUUGGGCCUAAAACGUCCGUAGCCUGUUUGGUAAAUCUGUGGGUAAAUCAACCAGCUUAACUGGUUGAAUUCUGCAGAGACUGCCAGACUAGGGACCGGGAGAGGUGUGGGGUACUCUAGGGGUAGGGGUAAAAUCCUGUCAUCCUUAGAGGACCACCAGUUGCGAAGGCGCCACACUGGAACGGAUCCGACGGUCAGGGACGAAGCCUAGGGGCACGAACCGGAUUAGAUACCCGGGUAGUCCUAGGUGUAAACGCUGUGAA